rnacentral:rRNA from 1 species
UACGAAGGGGGCUAGCGUUGUUCGGAAUUACUGGGCGUAAAGGGCGCGUAGGCGGCGUGUCAAGUCAGGCGUGAAAGCCCCGGGCUCAACCUGGGAACCGCGCUUGAGACUGGCAUGCUCGAGUUCGGGAGAGGAUGGUGGAAUUCCCAGUGUAGAGGUGAAAUUCGUAGAUAUUGGGAAGAACACCAGUGGCGAAGGCGGCUCACUGGCCCGGUACUGACGCUGAGGCACGAAAGCGUGGGGAGCAAACAGG